UGGCAAGCUUCGGGUGCAACUUCAACCCCACAUCUUCCUUCUUUCCCUCUCGAAACUACACAGGUUUCAUCCCCAAGCAAGAGAAUAGCACAAACCUCCCAUAGCCAUUACGUAGUUCUUGUUCUUUGCCCUCUGGAUUUGGCUCUUCACAUGCCAAUUUAAAAAAGGUUUCACUUGCAUAAGUCUCCCAAGAAAAAACCCUUGGUUUUGAUCAUCACACCCAGUUUUUCAUCAGCUCAAAUCCUCAGAUCUCCAAAUCUUUUUCUUCAGUGAAACAUGCUACUCCAAGCCCUAUGCUUUGAAACCCUAGUUUUUGCUUUAUACAAGUCAUUUCAGAGCUUAACUCCCUAGCUAGGGCAUUGCAGUUUGGCAUACGGCUAAGGACAUUUCGUUCUCUUUUUUCACUUGCGUUACAUUCUUGAAUUCAUUUUUGUCCACAUUAUUGAAUUAUUUGCAUAGGAAACAUAGCCUUUCUGCAUAAUUGCAUGAGAUCAUACAAACAAUUAUGCGGACAUAUUCGCGUACAUAUGUGCCUGGCUCCCUGUAUGCCAUGUGCAGAGAGCGCAUCGGAGAAUCGAUGGUCUCCGCGGAUGGCGUAUGAGGAGCCAAGCAUAUAAUUCCCCAGUAUGUUCUUCCUUUCUGCACAUGAUUUUGUUCGCAGGUCCGAAAAAGUUCUCACUUUCUUCAUCAUCUCCGAGAGGGACCGGAGUCGGGGAAGGGUAAUAGCAUGCGGUGGUUCAAACUCAAACCUUCAUGGCGAUGACUUAUCCAGCAUAGGACUGCACCGACUUUCACAGGUCAUUUGAGGCAUCUCGAGGCCAAUUUUAACAAUGGCGAGGUGGCAAUUUCCGCAGGGAUCAGAAACAAACACUUUGUAUCUGAGAAAGGUAAUAAAUCUUCACCGAUUUUGCAGAGUUAAAUCAGGAGAUUAUGAUUUGAAGUACUUACCUUUUAUUAGUAGUCUCGAAUCGUGAAUAUGCGACGGGAUUAAGAGGGACCGUGGUGAACCAAGAUCUGUUACGCUUGAAACGAGGAAUACCCUUCUCGGAACUCUCAGAAAAACCAAAAUUCCCAUUGCUCUUUUUUUAAAUCGCAGCGUUUUUCUGACAACAUAGGAGUUACAAAAGCUCACAUUAAAAACCCUCCCCCAUCAUUUCUCUCCUGAAAAGAGCCAUUUGAUGCUCCACGCCUUGUCUCAUAGAUUUUUCAUUAUCAUGAAAUUAGUGUGCUACAUAACUUCGAAAAGCUUUGUUUUUCGUUGAAGGAUCGACGAGGAUGCAAUUUUUUAGGUAGAAGUUAGGAAAGUAUUUUAUGUAUUGAAUGCUACCUCUGACGAUGUUCUUUUAAUUCUGCUCGGUGCUUUUGUGUAAUUCAAAUUGCCAAUGGAAGCUGUGCAUUAUGUAUUAUGUUGAGGGCCUUGAGGAAAGCAACUGGCUUGAGUCUGUUUGGAAUGUUAUCCAUUGAUGAGGUUAAGCUCGAACUUGUGAUGCUUGACUUGAUCGGAGAUCCCUAUGAAAAUGCUCUUCAGACGGUUUUUCAAGAUGAUUUCUUGUUAAAUAUCACUAUAUCUUAUGUGCCAUAACAUCACACCUCACCUCGGUAUAAUCAAAUUCAAAAUCUAUUUCAUUUACGCGACGGUUUUUAAACAUUCAUGCUAAGCUCAAAUUGGCACUUGACGAUAGAUUUAGAAUCAGGUCUUUGAAAUGCAAGUUGGGAUUUAAUUUUUUAAAUCAUUAGUAUAUGCUCAGCUGCUCGAUUUUCCACCCCCAAGAAACAAGAGAAAGCGAAAUCGCAUGCGUGAGACAGGGCCUUUAGACUGUCUCACGGACAAGAAGCAAACUAAAACAUCCUUCUAUUGGCAAAAGAAAACGUGUACUAUAUAAUUAAAUAGAACACACCAGUCUAUUUUUGGCCUCAACGAGGAGGCAAAGUGAUACAGCUUAUCAUCCGGUAGUUCUUGUAUUUCUUUUGUUACCUGCUUGGUUCUACUUUUACAAUGAUCUGCUGAGAGAUGGAGCAUCAUUAUCAGCACUUGUUUGUUAAUCUUUGUAUCAUUAAAUUGCCAUGCUAAUAAUCAGAUGAGCACUGGACAUUGCCUAAUUAAGCUGGUGAAUCCAACUAAGGAGGAAAAUAUCAUGUUUCGCUUCAAGAAUGUCGUGAUUUCUGAGGUAAGAACAAUUUAAGCAAAACCCUUUAGAGCCAUAACCUAGUUAGGUAGAUGAUAGUUACCCGAUUGGACAAGGGAUCCAAAGAUUUAUAUCCACAGGAAAACUCGGAUCAUUUGACAUCAUCACGUACGAAGCACAAAUACAAAGCAUGUAGAACUCUGUACCUUAGGAGGGUCUAUUUUCAAAUCAUUAUGAACUUGGAGACUUCCGUUUCUAUCUUGAAUGAUUUCCAAUUUUGCGGCACCUAUAGUAUGACAAAGGACGCUCAUUUUCUUGAGCAAAAGCUCAACCAAAUCUGUUUGGAUUUGUGGCAUUUACGGAAUAUACUUUUGACAAUAUACUUUGAGGUCAUGUAAAUAGUUAGUCACGUGAUCACAAAAUGAAUCGGUCGCUUAAGAAGUUUAGGGUCCAACAAAACGAAUGCCGAUCAUCACUAAUGUAGAGCUAGAAUAGAACCGAUAAAUUAUUCGAAUUUUGUAAUGACAUUUAAAAAAAGUAACCGGAAGUCAAUAAUACUUUUGUUAACAUCAUUAGCUGAGAAGAAAGCUUGAAAUGUCCCCUCUCUUUCUUCAUUAUUAACCCCCAAGGGGGAAAAACAGAAAGGAAGAGUCCCAUCUCCUUUCUUAGGUUGGAGAAAUUAGACAAGUUGACAAAAAGCAAACAACAUGAUAAUGAACUUAGCUAGUUAGGGCUUAUCCUGAUGAGGCUCCUCUAGGGCACAAGAAACCUCCUCCCCUCUCUCUCUCUCUCUCUAUCUAUCUCCCUCUCCCUCUCUCUCUCCUUUCUCUCUCUCUCUAGACACAAGUAGACACAGACUCAAGUCACAAGACAAGAACCCAUCUGGUCAGAGUAGAUGGGAGAAAGGAAGGAGAGGUAUUGGAUUCUGGAGAAAGUAAAAUUGAAAAAGAAACAAAAAGGCGAAGAAAUCAAGAGAGAGAGAAGAUGAUGAUGAUGAUAGGCACUGGGGAAUCUUGGGUUGCACAAAAAGAGGGACCACACCUGUCUCUCUUUUCUGUGAUUGGGUCAUAGGGAAUAUGUUAUACGGUCAAAGUAAGGUCAAAAAGGACAUUGGCUCAGGCUUAAAGAAAAGGAACUAUGAUCCCCCAUUUUCUCUCUCUCUUUCUCUUUUUCCUUUUCCUUUUCUUUUAUUUUUCAUCUCUUUCUGUGGGGGACCACUUCCACCCCAUUUUGGGACAACCCCCUCUCAUCUCAACUGGAUGUCACAAUAUUUUAUUUCAUUUUUCUUCAUUUUUCCUUAAUUUUUCAUUUCCAAUUUAGCAAGUACAAAAAAUAUAAAUAGAAAGAAAAUAAAAAAGAAGAGAGAAGAAGAGUACGGCUAGAGUGAGGGUCCUGAGGACAGUAUGCCAAGCCCAAUUGAGAUGCUGUUUUCGAUUGUACUCGGGUUGUCUAGGAAAGCAGAUUCCUUCCUGUUCUACCUUAACCUUCUGUUGGGAAGAACACUGACCGCUAGUAAAAGUACUUGUCAUGUAUUCUCUUCAUUAUUCGAAUUUCAAGAGCUUCUUUCUUUCUUUCUUUCUUGGUCUUUUGGUUGAGAGAUAGAGAGAGAGAGAGCUUGAGCCACUUUAGAUGUUUAAAGUGCGUCUUUCGUGAUCCCUGGGCAGAAACUAUUACAUCAUUAUGGGGUUUCUUUUCUGGUCUUGGUCAGAAUGGAACCAAGUUUUAUUCAUCAAUCUCGGGAGCUUAUGAAACUUAUUCUGCCCUGGAGUUGUGUGUUGGAUCGAUAUGCUGAUGGGUUCGAAGCAAUAAUGCCAUGCGCUUUGCAGCUUUCACACGAACAGUAUUCGUGCACGUUCAAUCAUUCAUCUGUUUCAUGUCCAUUCACACGGGGAAAUUUUGUCUGGUGUCCUCCCGGUCAGUUUGGUGUCGCUUAUGAGUAAAGUUCUGUCAGCUCUUGAUAAGCCCUCUAUUGUUUUCAAGAGACCUCAGAUAUUGUUUUCAAGAGACCUGGAUGUUUAUAUCUGAGGUUACAUUUAGUUGUCAGGAUAAAAACAUGAAUAGUUUCUCAUCCUGUGUUUAAUUGGUAUUCAAAAUAGGAUAAAGGCGCCAUAUAAGGUGGAUAUAAUUUGGAUAAAAGUACCCAUGUAGAGGGUAAGAUAAAGAUAAGUAAAAAGUUCUUACAUACAUGGUAUAAAAGCUAUUUUUUGAAAAGAACCAUCUUCUCAUUCUUAUUCUCUUCUGUAGUUCAGGUUUAUGCUGAAACUUCACAGCCCCUCCAUAUCCUCUAUUUCAUGAAACUUCAUGAAAAGGGAAAGAGAAUUGAAGCUCAUUCGCCUUCUUAAUUAUCUGGGAAAGAAAAAGAGAUGCCAACAAAUGAGUUUACAAGAAAAAUGAGCCUCACAUUGAUGACAGCCCAUCCUACAACAAUCAAUCUAAAACUCCAAAUGACACCUACUCAUAGCUGUAUCAGUCAGAUGGAUUUUAAAAAUAAGUAGGCCAAAAUAUGUGUCUUAAACGGGGUAUAAGUUUGACCCAUUUAUAACCAUUUUAAACCACAAGUUUCAAAAUCAAUGAAAAGCCUGGCCACUCGUGAUCUCGCUUCACGAUCUUCUCUCCCCUUCUUCGCUUCCACGAAUCCAAUUUGCUACUACCUUCAAUACCUAUUGCCAACUUCACGCCACCCAUCUUUGGGCUAUAUGAUUCAUAACCCGAAAGGUAAUACAUUAUCCACCAUGAAAUUAGUAGUACACCCAAUACAAUCUUCUUUCUUACUCUAUUUGAUGAUGUUAUGAACAAACUUUAAAGAGAGGGGAAAAUAUUUUCCUCAAAUUGAAAGCUUUUCUUACAUUUUUACCAGUAACCUUCUUUUAAUAAAUAAUAUGCAAAUUUUCUAAAGUAGUUAUAUUUAGGAGUUGUUUUGCCUUCCUCUCUAUUGGAUCAAGAGGUAAUAAGAACGGUUUUUUUUUUUU